rnacentral:rRNA from 1 species
UACGUAGGGGGCAAGCGUUGUCCGGAUUUAUUGGGCGUAAAGAGCGUGUAGGCGGUCAGGUAGGUCCGUUGUGAAAACUCGAGGCUCAACCUCGAGACGCCGAUGGAAACCAUCUGACUAGAGUCCGGAAGAGGAGAGUGGAAUUCCGAGUGUAGCGGUGAAAUGCGUAGAUAUUCGGAGGAACACCAGUGGCGAAAGCGACUUUCUGGGGCAUUCCUGACGCUGAGGUUCGAAAGCUCGGGGAGCAAACAGG